rnacentral:rRNA from 1 species
AAGUCUGACCGAGCAACGCCGCGUGAGUGAAGAAGGUUUUCGGAUCGUAAAACUCUGUCGUUAGAGAAGAACAAGGAUGAGAGUAAAACGUUCAUCCCUUGACGGUAUCUAACCAGAAAGCCACGGCUAACUACGUGCCAGCAGCCGCGGUAAUACGUAGGGGGCAAGCGUUAUCCGGAAUUACUGGGUGUAAAGGGUGAGUAGGCGGCAUGAUAAGUAAGAUGUGAAAGCCCGCAGCUUAACUGCGGGAUUGCAUUUUAAACUAUUGAGCUAGAGUACAGGAGAGGAAAGCGGAAUUCCCAGCGUAGCGGUGAAAUGCGUAGAUAUUGGGAAGAACACCAGUGGCGAAGGCGGCUUUCUGGACUGAAACUGACGCUGAGGCACGAAAGCGUGGGGAGCGAAC